UCGUCUGAUCCACUGGGUCGACCUGGGCCUUCAGCACUGAUCGCCCCGAAUUGCUCGCAGUCGUCGUGGUAGCAGCAGUGUCGCAGCGACGAUCACCACCCUG
rnacentral:misc_RNA from 1 species